rnacentral:lncRNA from 1 species
UGCUGAGGCACUGUGUCUGUAUUGUUCCAUGGAGAGCGCUGCCAGUCCCACUGGAUUUAUCUCCCUGAUUUCCUGGAUGCUGAGCUUGUUGCCAUUAUAAUUCAAUGUCCUGCCUCCAUCCCUCUGGUCGGGGUGCAUGCCACGGAAAUUGUUUAUGUUGUGGAAUUACCUCCUGACAUUGAUGCAUGGGGGAAUUAUUCCAAAAAAACCCUGAAAAAUACAGUGCGUGCUGAAAGAAAUUCAGGGAACUAACCAGGAUAAGGGAAACCUUCCAGCCUGGCCAGAAGUAGCUCCAAGGAUUUGUGUCAUCCAGGAAGUCUCUCCAAGGAUUUGUGUCAUCCAGGGGCAAUUGUGUGGUGCUGGGCAAAGAUUCCUGCAGGACAGUCACACUUGGAAUUCCAGUAGAUUAGCCUAUCAUCAAGUCAUCAGGAUCCUGCUAUUGGAAUAAACACAGCUGUUGUUUUCCAAGAAAUGUGGCAAAGAGCACUCGGGCUUUCUGGAAAGGCCUUUUUGCAACAGAGGGAAACCCAAACCCAUCCCAUAUCCGAGUGUCACUCACGACUUUCUAAAUUGAUGGUGGUGGAAUGUCCUUCCACUGUGGGUCUGGAAAGCUCUGGAGAGAAUUCCUGCUUGGGAAGUGAAGUGGAAAUUCCUGGGAGACCUUUUCAUCUUUCUUCUCUGUCACUGUGUAUUUUUUGUCCACCCUUUUGUAUCUUAAUAACAGCAAGAAGCAGAAUUUGUAAGAAUUGUUUCAAGAACAGAGAACAUGGGAG